rnacentral:rRNA from 1 species
GACGAACGCUGGCGGCGUGCUUAACACAUGCAAGUCGAACGGUAAGGCCUUCGGGUACACGAGUGGCGAACGGGUGAGUAACACGUGGGUGAUCUGCCCCCUACUCUGGGAUAAGCCUGGGAAACUGGGUCUAAUACCGGAUAUGACCUCCUUCUGCAGGGUUGGUGGUGGAAAGUUUUUUCGGUAGUGGGAUGAGACCGCGGCCUAUCAGCUUUUUGGUGGGGUAAGGGCGUACCACGGCGACGACGGGGAGCCGGCCUGAGAGGGCGACCGGCUGCGCUGGGGCUGAGACACGGACAAGACUCCUACGGGAGGCAGCAGGGGGGAAUAUUGCACAAUGGGCGAAAGCCUGAUGCAGCGACGCCGCGUGGGGGAUGACGGCCUUCGGGUUGUAAACCCCUUUCAGUCGGGACGAAGCGAGAGUGACGGUACCGAUAGAAGAAGCACCGGCCAACUACGUGCCAGCAGCCGCCGUAAGAC